rnacentral:tRNA from 1 species
UAAUCUAAUAUGGCAGAUUAGUGCAAUGGACUUAAAUCCCAUUUAUAAAGGCCCCCCC